AGGGAUGACCUGCCAGGUAUCAGAACACAGAAGAGCAGAGAUAGAAAAGACCUCACAAAUAGAUGGAUAUUUGGUACAAUUCAGCAUCCUCAGGUUUGAUCAGGGAAACCUUCGCUGCCUGGGUACCUGGAACUACUAUAGAGACCUGCUCGUUACUUCUAGAGGACACCGGAAGGGAACUCGUGAUCAUGAUCAGGGGAUUUUGAAGGGCUCAUCGGGGAUCGCUUGAAGAGAGGCCUCGGAGUCCUGCUUGAGGACUGGCCUAGGAAGACUGGGGCUUUGGAAGGCUGUGAGCAGUGAGCUCUUGGGAUGUUUUUCUUCAAUGUUCGGAUCAGGCUGUGGCUGAGAGGACACGACUGCUAGAGAAGGGACCACCGGAGCUUUCCUAAGAAACCUCUUCUGCCUUGAGGGGAGAUGUGCACAGCUGGAACUGAUAAUCACAGAGAGAACCCGAACAGCUUGGAAUACCAGGUCCUGGGGCUAGGAGGUAGGGCUUUCUCUAUUGUUUCUCCCAGAAGGCUUUGCACAUGGGCAAGGUAAUG